rnacentral:rRNA from 1 species
GAUGAACGCUGGCGGCGUGCCUAAUACAUGCAAGUCGAGCGAACAGACGAGGAGCUUGCUCCUCUGACGUUAGCGGCGGACGGGUGAGUAACACGUGGAUAACCUACCUAUAAGACUGGGAUAACUUCGGGAAACCGGAGCUAAUACCGGAUAAUAUAUUGAACCGCAUGGUUCAAUAGUGAAAGACGGUUUUGCUGUCACUUAUAGAUGGAUCCGCGCCGCAUUAGCUAGUUGGUAAGGUAACGGCUUACCAAGGCAACGAUGCGUAGCCGACCUGAGAGGGUAAUCGGCCACACUGGAACUGAGACACGGUCCAGACUCCUACGGGAGGCAGCAGUAGGGAAUCUUCCGCAAUGGGCGAAAGCCUGACGGAGCAACGCCGCGUGAGUGAUGAAGGUCUUCGGAUCGUAAAACUCUGUUAUUAGGGAAGAACAGAUGUGUAAGUAACUAUGCACGUCUUGACGGUACCUAAUCAGAAAGCCACGGCUAACUACGUG